GUACUCCCAGGGUUGCACCGGAGAGUUUCCAGUACUCUACCAGUCUCAGCUAUGGGAGGGAGAGUCAAGCAGAGGCCUACAUAUUCCAUUCCUAGUUUGAGCAGUGGCUUGCGAGUGGAAGGCAAUCUGCUACAAGU